GCGGUGGGCAUGUGGUUUAAUUCGAUGAUACGCGAGGAACCUUACCUGGGCUCAAAUGUAUGUUGACGUAUUCUGAAAGGGAUACUUCUUCGGACAAUAUACAAGGUGCUGCAUGGUUGUCGUCAGCUCGUGCCGUGAGGUGUCGGGUUAAGUCCCAUAACGAGCGCAACCCCUAUCAUUAGUUGCCAGCAGUUCGGCUGGGCACUCUAAAGGGACUGCCGGUGUUAAACCGGAGGAAGGUGGGGAUGACGUCAAGUCCUCAUGGCCUUUAUGACCAGGGCUACACACGUACUACAAUGGCCGAUACAAAGGGCAGCGACACUGCGAGGUGAAGCCAAUCCCGUAAAAUCGGUCUCAGUCCGGAUUGGAGUCUGCAACUCGACUCCAUGAAGUUGGAAUCGCUAGUAAUCGUGGAUCAGCAUGCCACGGUGAAUACGUUCCCGGGCCUU
rnacentral:rRNA from 1 species